CACGCAUUUUAACGUCAUAGAAAAACUACAAAUAUAAAUAUUCCUUACAUUCUUUUUUUUUUUUCUCAUAAAUAAAAUUCACACAACUUUCUAAGCUUAAUAAGAGACAUGAAGAUACAUAAAAAGGUGGAGUAUGUAUGUCAAUGAGUACAUAAUUGUCUCCAUGUUCUAGCAAUCAAGGGUGCCAAAUGUGGUGACCGUCAAUCAUGAUUGGGUUUUCAGACUAGGGACUAUGAUUUCAUACGCCUUGGAAGAACUCUGUAAUCAGUUAGCAAUCUCGGUUUUGGCGUGCGCGGCAGAAAUCAAAGGUGGUGAGUAUGGUUGCUGGGGUGGUGGACGGGAGGAGGAGCUGUGGCGGUGGCAUUUAGAUUGUUGGGCAGAGGUGGCGGGCACUGGUAACAUUUUGUGAAAAGACCAAAUGUAUCAAUCUGGUGUACGAAGUUUGUCAUGCUCGCCCAUCCACCAAAUCCAAACCCAACAAUCAGUACCCACACCACUACAAACAUAUUUAUCACGCACGUCCCUACCCAUCUUCCCACGUACUUUGGUGGCUGCUCCACUGCAUUCUCUCUUGCAGCGGCUGAUUUGAAGGUGAAGAUGUGUGCCAGGGCAGGGAUGAUGUAUACGGUGAAGCUAACAAGGAGAGAUCCAACCGUAGAAUUGAUGGGUCCAAAAAAUGGAAAGAUGAUAGCUAAAAACCAAAUAGGAAUGACCACAGGCAAUCUGGCUGCAGCCCUCUUGCAUAAGCUCUUGCAUUCAUGCAUCCCUAUUGCUUUCUCCCACACAAAGUACAGAGGGGUGCAUGCAAACCCAAAUGUUAUAAACUGGUGGAUGAGCAUUAAAAUGACAGCCAUGUCUCUGAAAGGAGAUCUUGGGAGGAGAGAAAAAGCAUUGGAGUGAUUAAGAAGCAUGUCUCCAAAUGCCCAAUAGACUGCUGCUGCAGAGGGAAGCGUCAGGGUCAGCACAUACAGGGUUGCCAAUAAGUAUAUGGCCUUGAAUUUCUGAGGCUUCCACAUUGCGUGCAUGAUUUCCACAGUAACAGCAUGUCCCCCAAAUGUAUAGAGAAUGUUUGUGGCCCCAGUGAAGUAUAGCACUAUUUUUGUUGGACCCGAAUGCUUCACCCCUUCAACCUGGCCAUGGAGGAGGGAGGCAAUGGUGAGGUACCAAGCAGUGUAAGUGGUCAUCAGGAGGCCAAGAAAUGACCAGAUUCUGUAAUUGUGAAAUGAAGGAAUAAACACAGUGGUGGCGCAACAAGCCCCGAAGAUGUAAGUCCAAGUUCUCUUGUCCAGAUUGUCGUUUAUGUAAUAUAUGUUGCUUGCACAAGCUAUGAGUUGAAUGACAGAUCCAAACAGAAGAAAAGUG
rnacentral:misc_RNA from 1 species